rnacentral:lncRNA from 1 species
GCUAGAUCCAGCUAAUGUGGGUAUACUUCUUUGAGGAUCUUUUUGUUAUCUUCAGCAGUAAGGUUGGUUAACUUUUAAUGUUCUUUUUUUUUUUUUUAUAUACAGGGUCUUGCUACGUAACUUAGGCUGGUCUCGAACUCACUGUGUAGCCUUGAGCUCCUGGUGAUCCUCCUGCCUCAGCCAGGCUGGGAUUACAGUGCACCCCGCGCUUGGCUUCAGUGUUCUAAACAAUCAUUACAUUUUCCAUCUGAACUUACAGAGUUGGCACUUUACAUGUGGCUUCCACCUACCCAAAGAGUUUGAGGUUGGCAGGCAGACAGCCACCAUAUUCCCUGUGAAACUGAACACAACAGUGUUAAGCUCUUGCUAUUUCAACCCAUGGAAAGUCAUACUGAUGCCGACAUUGCCAUUUUCUGCAAAAAGCUAUGCAGUGCUGGCCAUGUGAGAGGUCAGGCAGCCACUUCACAGUGGCUGUCC